UAUAUAUCGGAAUGUAAAGGUGUCUUUUCAGACUUAAUAGGGAAUUCGGUUUAAAGCCGAAGCUGUCCCCGCAACUGUAAGUGCUGACGAACUGAGACAACCACUGUAUAAAAACGACUUUUUUUACGGGAAGGCUCAGGUAGUAGGAUGAAGCAUUAGCCAGGAGACCUGCCAUUCAUUCCAAAGAUUU
rnacentral:ncRNA from 2 species